rnacentral:rRNA from 1 species
UACGUAGGGGGCAAGCGUUAUCCGGAUUUACUGGGUGUAAAGGGAGCGUAGGCGGCAGGGCAAGCCUGAUGUGAAAGCCCGGGGCUCAACCCCGGGACUGCAUUGGGAACUGCCCCGCUCGAGUGCCGGAGGGGCAGGCGGAAUUCCUAGUGUAGCGGUGAAAUGCGUAAAUAUAUGUAAGAACACCGGUGGCGAAGGCGGCUUGCUGGGCCUGUACUGACAUUGAGGCACGAAAGCGUGGGGAGCAAACAGG